rnacentral:rRNA from 1 species
UACGUAGGGGGCGAGCGUUGUCCGGAAUUAUUGGGCGUAAAGGGCUCGUAGGCGGUUUGUCGCGUCGGGAGUGAAAACCUUGGGCUUAACUCAGGGCUUGCUUUCGAUACGGGCAGACUAGAGGUAUGCAGGGGAGAACGGAAUUCCUGGUGUAGCGGUGAAAUGCGCAGAUAUCAGGAGGAACACCGGUGGCGAAGGCGGUUCUCUGGGCAUGAUCUGACGCUGAG